rnacentral:rRNA from 1 species
UACGGAGGAUCCGAGCGUUAUCCGGAUUUAUCGGGUUUAAAGGGUGCGUAGGCGGGCUUUUAAGUCAGCGGUAAAAAUUCGGGGCUCAACCCCGUCCGGCCGUUGAAACUGGGGGCCUUGAGUGGGCGAGAAGAAGGCGGAAUGCGUGGUGUAGCGGUGAAAUGCAUAGAUAUCACGCAGAACCCCGAUUGCGAAGGCAGCCUUCCGGCGCCCUACUGACGCUGAGGCACGAAAGUGCGGGGAUCGAACAGG